CAUGGUUUGGAGACUCGAUGAAAGUACAAUAUAACUCAUUAACUAUGUUGGUUUCGGUUUAUGCAAGAAUUUGGGCCUCGUCGAUCACGUGUGUACUAUAUUUUUUCCGCACAACCAAUAGCAAUGUUUAAAUUGAGCAUUUGUUCAAGUUACGGAUGGAUAACUCAACCACAAACUUGUUAUUGGUUAUUUCAGCGAAAAUACAAUACACACGUGACGAGAUAGGACCAA